AUGUGGAUGAAAGUAGGGGAAAUGACUGAUACUACUAGAAGAAUUCUUCUUUGGCUGAUAGGUACUGUAGCUGGUAUUGCUGUGAUUGGUUUAGUAGGUGUUUUCUUUUAUGGUUCAUAUUCUGGAUUUGGUUCAUCUCUAUAG
rnacentral:rRNA from 1 species